AGAGUUUGAUCAUGGCUCAGGAUGAACGCUGGCGGCGUGCUUAAUACAUGCAAGUCGAGCGAGGACCACCCGGUGGCAACACCGGAUGACUCCUAGCGGCGAACGGGUGAGUAACACGUGGGCAACCUGCCCCCGACUCUGGGAUAAGCCCGGGAAACUGGGUCUAAUACCGGAUACGAGCCUCCUCCGCACGGUGGAGGUUGGAAAGGGUCUCCGGUCGGGGAUGGGCCCGCGGCCUAUCAGCUUGUUGGUGGGGUAACGGCCCACCAAGGCGACGACGGGUAGCCGGCCUGAGAGGGUGAACGGCCACACUGGGACUGAGACACGGCCCAGACUCCUACGGGAGGCAGCAGUAGGGAAUCUUGCGCAAUGGGCGAAAGCCUGACGCAGCGACGCCGCGUGCGGGAUGACGGCCUUCGGGUUGUAAACCGCUUUCAGUUCCGACGAAGCGCAAGUGACGGUAGGAACAGAAGAAGGACCGGCCAACUACGUGCCAGCAGCAGCGGCGGUAAUAC
rnacentral:rRNA from 1 species